GGGUGGACCGGAUGGUGUUGAGAAUCCCGGCGGUAGUAGCAGCAUAGCCAGGUGAGAAUCCUGGUCGCCGGAAGGCUCAGGGUUCCUCAGCACUGCCGGUCAGCUGAGGGUUAGCCGGUCCUAACCCAGCCCCUAACUGGGUGCUGGGGAAGGGAAACCCGUUAAUAUUCGGGUGCCACCCGGUAGCAGCCGCGAGGCAGCCCAGCUCACCUGCUUCUGGCUAGGCCGAGUGCAGCCGUCGCUGCACCUAACUCCAGAAGCCUGGGGAGUCUCGUAAUGAGGAGAACCAGGUGAAUGGAGGAAUGGCCCUCUUUGAGGGUUCGGCCGAUGCCAGGAGCCCAUGAAAAGUGAGCUGGGAAAUGCGAGCCGGGUGACCGUACCAAGAACCGGCACAGGUAGCCUGGCUGAGAAGGCUAAGGCGUGAGGGGUACAACGGGGCUAAGGGAAAUCGGCAAAUUGGUCCCGUAACUUCGGGAGAAGGGAUGCCAGCAGUAGUAUCUUGACGAUGCUACUGCUGGUCGCAGUGACUAGGGGGGCGGGACUGUUUACCAAAAACAUAGCGGACCGCUACUCCGAAAGGACUAGUACGGUCCGCGACGCCUGCCCAGCACGGGUACCUGAAGCCCGGGUCCAACCGGGUCAAGGGCCCGUUAGCGGCGGGGGUAAUCCGCACCCACCAACGGAAAUCGGAAAUUUAUUCCCGCAAAUUUUAAAUGGCCUUGAGACAUCGAAGCUGACAAUGAAAGAGUGGCAAGAAUAUUUGCUAGGGGCUCUCUUAGAUGGUUACAUUGACCUCAGACGGAAAGAAAUUCAAAUCUAUCAGAAAGAGAGAAAAUGGUUGGAAUUUGUAAACCAACUCGUAAAGGAAAACUUUGGGAUUACUGGAAGUAUAACACAUAAGAAAAAUGUCUUCUGUUGGAGGAAGAAGAGUAAAAGAUUGUUAGAAUUAAUAACCAGCCUAUCAUUGAGUGAUGUCCAAGAUGGCAGAUACUUCGUAGCAGCUGUAUUUGAUACUGAAGGGAGUAUUUAUCGCUCGUCUAAAUCGAGGAUACCUGUAAUAGACAUCACUCAAUCUGAGAAAGGAUUGCCUAUACUUAGAAAAGUUCAAUCAGUUUUAAAAAGGAGAAAGAUAAAAAGUAAUAUUAACGGGCCUUACAGGAAUCCAAAUUCUAAGCUCCCUCAAUAUCACUUAAGAAUCUACGGAAGAAAAAAUUGUAUCAAAUUCUUUGAUACUUUUCCCAUCCAACAUCCCUCAAAGAAGAGAAAAUUCAUUGAGUUGGUGAGUGCGGACCCCAUACUCUGACCCUCUUAAGCAAGCGCAAUGCCUUGCCGUUUAAAUGACGGCUUUGCGAACGGCGUAACCACGUCCCCACUGUCCCUAGCCCCGACCCCGUGAACACACCAUCCGUGUGCAAAGGCCAGGGACCCCGCGUGGGUUACGAAGACCCCAGGAACUUGACUGCAGCCUGCCGCUGCAUCUCAAGUCUCAGAAUGGAGCGUAGGCAGGAGGAAUGAAAUAUCCUCGCUAGGGGAUAUGGAUCCGACCAUGAAACACUGCCUUCUGGGGCUUGAGGUGCUAACCUGAGCCUCUGCGCUCAGGGACAACGGUUGGUGGGCAGUUUGGCUGGGGCGGCACGCCGGCGAAAAGGCAUCGCCGGUUCCCAAAGGUCGGCUCACCCGCUAUAGAACUGCGGGGUAGAGUGCAAGGGCAAAAGCCGGCCUGACUGUGUCCCCAACAGCGGGGGACGCAGACGCGAAAGCGGGGCCUAGUGAACCCCAGUGGCCUCUCAUUGAGGCCCUGGGUUAUAGGAAAAGCUACCCUGGGCGUAAUUGAGUGGUCGCGGGUGAGAGCUUGGAUCGACCCCGCGGCUUGCUACAUCGAUGUCGGCUCCUCCUAUCCUGGCCGUACAGCAGCGGCCAAGGGUACGGGUGCUCACCGGUUAAAAGGGGUCGUGAGCUGGGUUCAGUCCGCCGUGAGGCAGGACGGUUGCGAACUACGGGGGGUGUGCCCUGCCUGAAUGGAAGGCACACCUAGUACGAAAGGAACGGUGUGCCGGCGCCUCUGGUCUAGGGGCUAUCCGACAGGGUAAGCCCCGCAGCUACGCGCCAAGGGAUAAGGGCUGAAAGCAUCUAAGCCCGAAGCCCACCGUGAAAAUAGGCAGGGUUUGAGGGCGGCCCUAGAAGAGGGCGUUGAUGGGGCAGGGGUGUAAGCACCGAGGCUUCGGCCGAGGUGUUCAGCCCGCUGCUCCCAAUAGCCCGAAAGUCCUUGAU
rnacentral:rRNA from 1 species